CACUCCUGCGGGAGGCAGCAGUGGGGAAUAUUGGACCAUGGGCGCAAGCCUGAUCCAGCCAUGCCGCGUGAGUGAUGAAGGCCCUAGGGUUGUAAAGCUCUUUCACCGGUGAAGAUAAUGACGGUAACCGGAGAAGAAGCCCCGGCUAACUUCGUGCCAGCAGCCGCGGUAAUACGAAGGGGGCUAGCGUUGUUCGGAUUUACUGGGCGUAAAGCGCACGUAGGCGGACUAUUAAGUCAGGGGUGAAAUCCCGGGGCUCAACCCCGGAACUGCCUUUGAUACUGGUAGUCUUGAGUUCGAGAGAGGUGAGUGGAAUUCCGAGUGUAGAGGUGAAAUUCGUAGAUAUUCGGAGGAACACCAGUGGCGAAGGCGGCUCACUGGCUCGAUACUGACGCUGAGGUGCGAAAGCGUGGGGAGCAAACAGGAUUAGAAACCCCUGUAGUCCCAUG
rnacentral:rRNA from 1 species